GGCCUCAUAGCUUAGUGGUAUAAAGCGCCUGCCUAGUAAGCAGGAGAUCCUGGGUUCGAAUCCCAGUGGGGCCU